GGAUUAAGAGCUUGCUCUUAUGAAGUUAGCGGCGGACGGGUGAGUAACACGUGGGUAACCUGCCCAUAAGACUGGGAUAACUCCGGGAAACCGGGGCUAAUACCGGAUAACAUUUUGAACCGCAUGGUUCGAAAUUGAAAGGCGGCUUCGGCUGUCACUUAUGGAUGGACCCGCGUCGCAUUAGCUAGUUGGUGAGGUAACGGCUCA
rnacentral:rRNA from 1 species